CCCUUAGAUGUUCUGGGCCGCACGCGCGCUACACUGAUGCGUUCAACGAGUCUAAAACCUGGUCUGAUGGGGCUGGGUAAUCUUUUGAAUGUGCAUCGUGAUUGGGAUAGAUGAUUGCAAUUCUUCAUCUUCAACGAGGAAUGCCUAGUAAACGCAAGUCAUCAGCUUGCAUUGAUUACGUCCCUGCCCUUUGUACACACCGCCCGUCGCUCCUACCGAUUGAAUGUUCCGAUGAAUACCAUGGACUGAGAGUAUGAAUGGGUUCGCCUAUUUCUGCUUCUCGGGAAGUGGAGUAAAUCUUAACAUUUAGAGGAAGGAGAAGUCGUAACA
rnacentral:rRNA from 1 species